rnacentral:rRNA from 1 species
GAAAUGCGAUAAGUAAUGUGAAUUGCAGAAUUCAGUGAAUCAUCGAAUCUUUGAACGCACCUUGCGCUCCUUGGUAUUCCUUGGAGCAUGCCUGUUUGAGUAUCAUGAAAUUAUCAAAGCAACUCGUUUGUUAAUUCAAUUGACUUUGCUUUGGACUUGGAGGUCUGCAGAUUCACGUCUGCUCCUCUUAAAUGCAUUAGCUGGAUCUCAGUGAGCUCGGUUCCACUCGGCGUGAUAAGUAUCACUCGCUGAGGACACCCGUAAAAAAGGUGGCCAAGAUUGCAGAUGAACCGCUUCGAAUAGUCUAUUAGAUUGGACAAAUACUUUAUGAUCUGAUCUCAAAUCAGGUAGGACUACCCGCUGAACUUAAGCAUAUCAAUAAGCGGAGGAAA